AUUGAACGCUGGCGGCAGGCCUAACACAUGCAAGUCGAACGAGUGGCGGACGGGUGAGUAAUGUCUGGGAAACUGCCUGAUGGAGGGGGAUAACUACUGGAAACGGUAGCUAAUACCGCAUACCAUCGGAUGUGCCCAGAUGGGAUUAGCUAGGCGGUGGGGUAACGGCUCACCUAGGCGACGAUCCCUAUCUGGUCUGUGAGGAUGACCAGCCACUCUGGAACUGAGACACUGUCCAGACUACGACGGGAGGCAGCAGUGGGGAAUAUUGCACAAUGGGCGCAAGCCUGAUGCAGCCAUGCCGCGUGUGUGAAGAAGGCCUUCGGGUUGUAAAGCACUUUCAGCGGUGAGGCGUUACCCGCAGAAGAAGCACCGGCUAACUUCGUGCCAGCAGCCGCGGUAAUAC
rnacentral:rRNA from 1 species